ACGUGCAUUUAGGUGUUGUAGUUUUUGGGGAUGUCACUUCUUGCCUUUCUGAGGCGUAAUGCAUAAGUUGAUGGGUCAGGUCAUAGGUUAGGUUAAGUUUAAAGGUAGACUCAGCCAGAUGAAGUACACGUACAAAGUAAACUGUAGUAGUGGGUCAAUUUCCACAGCAGCCAGGGCCCGGAUUCCCAAAGGCAUCUUAAGUUCUUUGUUCAAACCUUAGUAGGAGUAUCGUCAAACAUGGUGCGCCUCGCUACACCUCGGUCUCAGGGGAGAACUGCAAGCCAGCUAGAGCAACGCAUACAGUCUCCUGAUCUUGCAGUGUAGGCACGGUCUCCGAACCCCAAAGCAAGUCACAAGGACAACAAAUCCUCAGCACCGCAAUAUUGGCAGCACACAGAUUGGUACACUGUCACAAGUAAUAAAAACAAGGACACAACCCAAACGAUGGCACAAGCGACACCGAGUGGGGGGAACAGCAGAGCACCCUGAUGGAGGCUAGCUUGCUUGCUGCUCCAAGCUAUUGAAUAGAUGCCGGUAUCCUAUACUUCUGCGCUUAUACACUAACAUUGAGCUCUUACCAAGCGAGCCCUUCCUGGAACACGCCGAGAGAAGGAAGUGGAAGUAGUGCAGCGGCUGCUAUUUAAACGGGUUAUCCGCAGCACAACAGUACAUAACUCAGCCCGCCUAAAAUAUUAUUGGAAAUACAGCGGCUGUGGAGAGACCUAUGAAGUCCCAGCAAUAGAGAACUAGAAAAUGACAACGCUUCUAUGGAAUAUCAGUACAUUUCAUCAUCGAUCUGUUGGGAGCUGUGAAUGCUGAAGUCAAUACAUUGACAGAGAGAGAGAGGCAGUCUGUCAUUCUACACACUGGACUAACUGGACUACAGGCUGAUAAGAUAUUUUGGUUCUUUGGUCCAGUCAUUCCAAAUACCUCAAUAGUUGAGUCGGGUCAUCAGAGGAGAGAACAUCACAUCAUUCAAAGGAAGAUUCCCAGACAGACUGCAGCUGGAGAGAGAAACAGAUUCUCUCACCAUCAGAGAUCUCACCCUCAACAACUCUGGAGUUUCAGACAUUUUCAAUACACACAAAACAUCUCAGAAAUUCUAUCUAUGGUGGGUGUUGGUUUUAUAUAUAACUGUGUUUCAAGUGGGUCCCAAUGCCCAAGAGUAUUGUGGCAUGUAUUGUAAAACAGAAGCCUACAGUAAAAGGUAUUGACGUAGUGUACUGAAUACCAUUUCUGCCCCAAGCAACAUUACACAAUCAACUUUUAUGUGACUUAUUACUGUAACUGCUACAGUAUCAUCGGCUUACAGUGUAUCAAUUAUGAUAUUUUUAACCCAAUUGUAGCGAUUGUUAUGAAUAGGCCUAACCAGACAUUGAGAAUUGAAACCGUUUAUGAUAAUCACAUGUAUGUUCAUGUAAUAAUGUGGGGAUAGUCAUGUUAUCCGAUGUCCUGUUUUUUGAUCACCUGUCAAAUAAAAUAACCAUGUUCAGA